CUCAAGCUCUUGACCAAUAUUUGGAAGUCAAUCUCAUGGUUUCCUUGAGCUGGUCAUUUCUGACGUAUUUAUUGACGAGCAUUAUUUCUGAAGUAUCUUCUUAUCUGCUGAGCUCUGGAAUGCUCAGGGAGUAAGGUAAAAAUGAAAGGCAGAAUGUAUUGUGGAAUUUUGUUGUUCUUCCCCAAGAAUUGAUCUCAAGAGAUGAGCCCAAAAUGUUGCAUAGCUCCUUGGUCCCGUGGCCAUUCCUUUUCUUCUGGUGGGAGACUCAGUUCCUUUCCUGGUGUCUUCAGCUCACCUGAGACUGUGAUUAACGGCACUGACUGUGGAGCGAAACCGUAGCCUACCACUUGUUAUCCUGAGAGCAAGGUAGUUAACUUUUCUGUACCUUAAUUUCUUCAAUAGAUAAAUUUGUAUCAGCAGUAAUACAUGCUUCCUAAGGUUUCAGUGAGGACUUAUUACACACAAGCUUAGGACAAUGACUGGUCUAAGGCAAUGCUAAUAGAUGCCAUUAUUAAAUCCUUACAACAUAUUUGAUGCUUCUUAUUCUAAGUUUAAAAGUAGGCAGCAGCUCAAAUGCACAGCUGGUCUGCGUCAAGCUGGACCUGAUGCCUACUUUUCUUAGGGCACUGCUAUGCCCUCUGCCCUUCUUCCACCGUGCCCUUGAAGGAAGCCAGGCUACAACACCCGGGACUUUGCUUUCCUGGAGUGGCUCAAAGCCCCGAGCCUGCUGCCAAGGUCUUUAGUCACACAGUUCUAACUAAUCCACGAUCUUUGUCCGGAUGGCCAUCGCUGCGGUUCACUUCCUGUCACUGAGCAUUUUCACUGAGUGCCACAAAGUGGGAGGCAAGAGCGGACGUCGGCUGGAGCACAGAUUCGGGUGCCUGAGCAAAGAGAUCAGCAGCAAAAUGCUGGACCUCCUGUCCUGAGAAGGAACAAGCGCGUGCAGAAUUAAGGAGGUCUUCAAGCAGGAGACCCAGCCCCAGGCCAGGGAUAGAUGGAGGCCGAGCUCCUUAGGAAACAAAGGCCGAUCCCAGCAAUUCCUCUAACCCUUGUGAUUUUAAAGGGAUCCUGACUAUGUCUUCACCUUCACCAUCAGAGAUCUCAUGUGCAAAAAGUAAAAUCACUUUGUGAAAUGCCACAUGAGAAAGGGACUUAGCUGGUGUACCCAUUCAUUCGUCUCUGCUCCCCACCCUAGAGAGCUCCUCUGGGACGUGAGUACCCAUCACUGAACUGUCUCUCUGCCAUGCUGCCCAGGAGCGCCAUCAGCCCUCUGGGCACAGUCCCAAGAUAAUGCAGAUUUUUAAGGUUUAAAGGAGCAGAAUGACACACACUGUCAGCAACAUGCUCAGCUAUUGAUAGAACCAAGCUAAGAUUUGGGCUGACGUAAAACAGUGUCCUGCAUAAGGAUUUGCUAAACAUCAAGUUAAUUUAUGUAUCUUUUGUGCUGGUGGCAGCUGCUUUUGUUUUAGAGUCAAGCAGAAAACAGAACCAGCAUACAGUUUAUUUUCUAUUUUAUAGCAUUGCAAACUUCACCAGGAUUCAUGGAGCCAGAUGCCAAACUAAUUGUUUGAUCGGUGGUCUUAAUGUCUCACCUGACUCUUAACAAAAUUAUAGGCUACAUACUCAUUCCCUGCUCUCCUUUUGCCCCAACCUGAUUUUCCAGUUACCACCUAAGGCAGUGAUGGUGAAUCUUUUAGAGUUUUCAAUGAUACAAAAUAGCCCACCACUGAGCUAAGGUCCAAAUGUCAGGCUUAAGGAUUAGGGGUUUAAGAUAAAUCCCAGUUCACAGUUGUUUGCACUGAGCACAAGAUCCAGAGGCAGCCAACUGUUUACAUUAGGCAAGGGCCGAGGAGAUUGGGGCAGACUGAAGAGAUAGGGCAUCUCACUCUUACUUACUUACGUACUUUGUGGCAAUAGGCACCUGAACACCUCAGUGAACAUAGAAAUGGGCACCAGCAUUGGAGGAGGAUAUUUUAGACUGAAUGCCCCUUGCAACCUUCUACAGAAGUCAGUCACAAAAGCUGGUUCUGAGCUUAAGCCUGCCCAGUGGGUCCAAGUGUUCUUCACACAGGUCCAAGUGUUCUUCAUUGACCAUGUUGAGGAGAAAGGCUUAAUUCAGUCACAGGUGGACCCCAGGUAGUACUUAGGGGGUACUAUCUGGUAAUUAUGAGCCCACUAAAAGUGGAAGGCACAGGGUAUGUAGAAGGCCCAGGACAUUAUAGGAAGCACAGAGGAUCAUGGGAGCCACACAGAGGAUUAUGGGAAGACUAUGUGGCAGUUCUUUGAUGGUCUACAUGGUAUAUAAGAAGAGACAAAGGGGGUUCUAGAAAUGACAUUAAAACAAACAUAGUAGGAUUGGAAAGAAAUAGUUUAUGGUAGUCUGGUUUUAUUUUUUUCCUCCUCAGAAAAGUGUACCAUGAGUAUGGU